rnacentral:rRNA from 1 species
UACGUAGGGGGCUAGCGUUGUCCGGAUUUAUUGGGCGUAAAGAGCGUGUAGGCGGCCAGGUAGGUCCGCUGUGAAAGUCCGAGGCUCAACCUCGGAAUGUCGGCGGAAACCCUCUGGCUAGAGUCCGGAAGAGGUGAGUGGAACUGCGAGUGUAGAGGUGAAAUUCGUAGAUAUUCGCAAGAACACCAGUGGCGAAGGCGGCUCACUGGCCCGGUACUGACGCUGAGGUGCGAAAGCGUGGGGAGCAAACAGG